UUUAGGUCACUUCUGGUUUUAUUUAGGGCACUUCUUGUUGAAAUAAGGUCACUUCCAGUUUAUUUGGGGCACUUCCGGUUUAAUUUAGGGCACUUCCGGUUUAGCUGAGGUCACUUCCGUUUUAUUUGGGGUCACUUCCAGUUUAAAAAGGUCACUUAUUGUUUACAUGAGGUCACAUCUGGUUUAUUUGGGGUCGCUUCCAGUUU